AUUUAAUAAAGUUGUACAGUGUUGUGUAGUAUUUAAUCAUGAGGUGUAGUAUUUAAUAAAGUUGUACAGUGUUGUGUAGUAUUUAAUCAUGAGGUGUAGUAUUUAAUCAGGCUGUGUAGUAUUUAAUAAAGUUGUACAGUGUUGUGUAGUAUUUAAUCAUGAGGUGCAGUAUUUAAUAAAGUUGUACAGUGUUGUGUAGUAUUUAAUCAUGAGGUGCAGUAUUUAAUAAAGUUGUACAGUGUUGUGUAGUAUUUAAUCAUGAGGUGUAGUAUUUAAUAAAGUUGUACAGUGUUGUGUAGUAUUUAAUCAUGAGGUGUAGUAUUUAAUCAAGUUGUAUAGUGUUGUGUAGUAUUUAAUCAUGAGGUGUAGUAUUUAAUCAGGCUGUGUAGUAUUUCAUAAAGUUGCACAGUGUUAUGUAGUAUUUAAUCAUGAGGUGUAGUAGUUAAUCAGGCUGUGUAGUAUUUAAUAAAGUUGUACAGUGUUGUGUAGUAUUUAAUCAUGAGGUGUAGUAGUUAAUCAGGC
ensembl:lncRNA